ACUCCUACGGGAGGCAGCAGUGGGGAAUUUUGGACAAUGGGCGAAAGCCUGAUCCAGCAAUGCCGCGUGAGUGAAGAAGGCCUUCGGGUUGUAAAGCUCUUUUGUCAGGGAAGAAACGGUGAGAGCUAAUAUCUUUUGCUAAUGACGGUACCUGAAGAAUAAGCACCGGCUAACUACGUGCCAGCAGCCGCGGUAAUACGUAGGGUGCAAGCGUUAAUCGGAAUUACUGGGCGUAAAGCGUGCGCAGGCGGUUUUGUAAGUCUGAUGUGAAAUCCCCAGGCUCAACCUGGGAAUUGCAUUGGAGACUGCAAGGCUAGAAUCUGGCAGAGGGGGGUAGAAUUCCACGUGUAGCAGUGAAAUGCGUAGAUAUGUGGAGGAACACCGAUGGCGAAGGCAGCCCCCUGGGUCAAGAUUGACGCUCAUGCACGAAAGCGUGGGGAGCAAACAGGAUUAGAAACCCUGGUAGUCCCAUGA
rnacentral:rRNA from 1 species